rnacentral:lncRNA from 1 species
GGGGAAGAGCCCAGUCCUCGUGAGGUCAAGGCCACGAUUUAGAAACCAAAAGCUCAGAAAUGCUCUGAAACCACAGAUGGCCAAAUCCACCCACUGGAGGUUCAGCAUAUACUUGCUCAAAUACGUAAACUAAAAGCAGGCUCUUUUGAGUUGUUUGGAGGAUUCAUGGCUACAUAUAACCUGGUAGUGCAUGUACUGUGGGGCUCAUCCAAAUGGGAGAGGCCCUUCGGGGGCCUGCAUCAGAGUGAGGAGGCACGUCCCUGGGUAGCUCACCCUGGCCACCGGGAUGUGAAGACCCCUGGGAUGACAUGAGUGGAGCCAUAUUAAAAUAGAGCCAGAGCAGCCAUUUCAGAGGAAUUGCCUUGCACGUUUUGUUUUCUUUAUCUUCCAAACUGGACCAAACCAC